rnacentral:rRNA from 1 species
UACGUAGGGUGCAAGCGUUAAUCGGAAUUACUGGGCGUAAAGCGCUCGUAGGUGGUUUGUCGCGUUGUCCGUGAAAACUCACAGCUUAACUGUGGGCGUGCGGGCGAUACGGGCAGACUGGAGUACUGCAGGGGAGACUGGAAUUCCUGGUGUAGCGGUGGAAUGCGCAGAUAUCAGGAGGAACACCGGUGGCGAAGGCGGGUCUCUGGGCAGUAACUGACGCUGGAGGAGCGAAAAGCGUGGGGAGCGAACAGG